UUCUUUUAAUAAAGCUAAUCAGCUGUAACAACAACAGUCAUAAAAACAAGAGUUAACCCAGAGUCAAUCAUUGACUUGUACCUGUGAGCCUCGGCUCAGGGUUUAGAGAACACAUUUCACAGACGUCAGAUAUAAACAUCACCCUCCUCCUCCUCCUCUUCUUCACUACUGAGACUAAAACCAGAACCAACUCUCAGCUGUGUAUCCGAGCAGGAGGAAACUGUCCAGAAGAUCAGAGCUAACAUCUCUGUUCCUGGUGACAUUCAUCCUACGGCUGGUUUUAUCUGCAAAGAGUUUUAGAUUUCAGGUUUCAGGAGAAUGCUCCUUCAGUUGUUCUCUUUGUGUAGACUGAGAUGUUCAAUCUGCUGUAUAUGAUCUGUGUUCCAUUCUGAAUCUUACAUUAACUUUCUAUCUUCUGUUUCAGGGUAUCCCAGUGUUAGAUGGAUUGUUGCAUUGAUUGUUUCAAUUUUUGCAUUGAUUGGAACGAUUUUUUCUGCAGCAUAUCUUGUUGUUGAUUCUAUUCUUGAAAUUAGGCGUCAAAUCAAGUAUGAAAAUGGAUCACAAGACCCAGGAAACCAAUCUAGUGAUGUCCAAACGCAGCUUUUUCCAAAGAGCAGUACCACAGUAAGUGAAGACACCAGACCUGG